rnacentral:rRNA from 1 species
AUUGAACGCUGGCGGCAUGCUUUACACAUGCAAGUCGAACGGUAACAGGUUAAGCUGACGAGUGGCGAACGGGUGAGUAAUGCAUCGGAACGUGCCCGGUCGUGGGGGAUAACGCAGCGAAAGCUGCGCUAAUACCGCAUACGAUCUGAGGAUGAAAGCGGGGGACCGUAAGGCCUCGCGCGAUCGGAGCGGCCGAUGUCAGAUUAGGUAGUUGGUGGGGUAAAGGCUCACCAAGCCGACGAUCUGUAGCUGGUCUGAGAGGACGACCAGCCACACUGGGACUGAGACACGGCCCAGACUCCUACGGGAGUCAGCAGUGGGGAAUUUUGGACAAUGGGCGCAAGCCUGAUCCAGCAAUGCCGUGUGCAGGAAGAAGGCCUUCGGGUUGUAAACUGCUUUUGUACGGAGCGAAAAGGCUCUCUCUAAUACAGGGGGCUCAUGACGGUACCGUAAGAAUAAGCACCGGCUAACUACGUGCCAGCAGCCGCCGUAA